AAAUUAAAAAAAUACCAAAAAUAAUCCUGGAAAACUCUUCUCCACUUUCUCCUCCCUCCUUAAUCCUCCGCCCCUUCCCUCUCUGCAGACGACUUCGUCAACCUCUUUGAAAAGAAGGUUGACGACAUCAUUCACUCAUCCUAUUGAGUCCACUAGUCAAACUCACACAGAACAACCCUACGCCUUGACCUAUUUCUCUCCUCUCUCUCCAGAUGAAAUCCUACAACUGACCAUCUCUGGAGACCUUCUGCCAUUCCUCACUUCCCACUGGCUGCGUCCCCAAUGGCCUGAGACACGAGACCCCUUAAGAAAACAAUACUCAACUCAUCUGACAUCAAAAAAACCAUUGUCUUUAAACCUAACCAAUCAGGCUUCAAGACGGGUCACUCAACCGAGACUGCUAUUCUCUGUCACAGAGGUUCUCCCAAUUGCGAAAAACUGUUCUCAUCCUCCUAGAUCUAUCCGCUGCCUUCAGACACC
rnacentral:lncRNA from 1 species